rnacentral:tRNA from 1 species
GCCUAACUGGCUUGAUCGGUAGAGCAAAGGACUCUCAAUCUCAGGGUUGUGGGUCCAAGCCCCACAUUGGGUA